CGCUGUUGGGUGUGAGGACCCCAGUCGCUGGGCCGCCAUUCCGGAGCGCCAUCGAGAGGUCCUACGGGCGCGCGCGGACCCCCGAGUGCGGCUGGAAGCCCUGGGCCGUUGGUAGAGUGGAAGGGGAUAAAGGGAUCGGUGGGCGAGCGUCCCCUGUGGCCGGACCUCCCCUCACCGCCCUUCCCCAGGUAUCGGGACGAGUUGCCAGCGGCCAUCAGGGGCAGAGCGGAGAGCAUGUGACAGGCAGCUGGAGCGGCUGCUGGCCUGGAAGCUGGCGGCGAGGGGCGGCCCGCCUCGAGGGCGGGGCCUCCGUAGGGCGGGUCUUCAUCGGGGCGUGGCAUCGGCGGGGCGGGGCCUCCAGAGCGGGUCUUCGUGGGGGCGGGGCCUCCCUGUGGGUCGGCCUCCCUGUGGGUCCACCACCCCGGGCACCCUGACCUGGCUUCUCACAGCAGCUGGUGACCACCAAUCCCCCUGAGCUGGCUGUGCACUGUUCGACCACCACCUUCUGCCUCCUGCCAGAUGUGGGGGCCGCGGUCACCCAGCUGUCUGCCCUCUGCAGUGUGGACCCACCACAGUCACAGCCUCAGAACCAGGAGUCGGAGCCAGAGCUUGUCCCGAUGGGGUGUCCGGCUGCUUCUCCUCGCUGCUCACAGCAGUCCUGGUGCCUGGAGCUCGAGAUGGAGGCCUUCAUGUCAGAUGAGGCAGUGGUCACAGUGCCCGGCCUGCCGGCCCCACAGUACACCGUCAGGUACUACCUGCUGUACCUGGGCCAGGUUCAAGAGUGGGCCACAGCUCUGAGCCAAGGUGAAUGAACUGUGUGUGGGCAGGCUGGGGUGGCCCGUGCCCCUGGGCCUGAGUCUGUGUGCUCCCCACCUAGUGGAGACAGCACUGUGGACCUGGGCCGUGGGGCAGAGGCUGUGCCCAGACCUGCUGCCCAACCUUGGCCCCAGCCUGGCCACCCACGUGGACACUAGGCCAGCCAAGAAGCAUGGGACCCAGGCCGAGUGAACUUGGCUAUAGUCCAGGCCUGCUCACCUGCUACACAACCUUAGGCCUCCGGGUCUCACUGGAUGGCAGGGAGGCUGAAGAGUAGGCCAGCCACUAUGGGAGCUCAAUAAACACUUCCCAGACUCAUGCGUGAUUAC